rnacentral:rRNA from 1 species
GUGAAGAAGGCCUUCGGGUUGUAAAGCCCUUUUGUUGGGAAAGAAAAGCAUUCGGUUAAUACCCGGGUGUUCUGACGGUACCCAAAGAAUAAGCACCGGCUAACUUCGUGCCAGCAGCCGCGGUAAUACGAAGGGUGCAAGCGUUACUCGGAAUUACUGGGCGUAAAGCGUGCGUAGGUGGUGGUUUAAGUCCGUUGUGAAAGCCCUGGGCUCAACCUGGGAAUUGCAUUGGAUACUGGGUCACUAGAGUGUGGUAGAGGAUAGUGGAAUUUCCGGUGUAGCAGUGAAAUGCGUAGAGAUCGGAAGGAACACCUGUGGCGAAGGCGACUAUCUGGGCCAACACUGACACUGAGGCACGAAAGCGUGGGGAGCAAACAGGAUUAAAUACCCUGGUAGUCCACGCCCUAAACGAUGCAAACUGGAUGUUGGGUUCAACUUUGGAACCCAGUAUCAAAGCUAACGCGUUAAUUUCCCCCCCGG